rnacentral:snoRNA from 8 species
GUAGCCAGUGAUGAAGACUUCUCCCACUCGUGUUCGAGUUUCCCGACCGUGAGAUGACUCCACAUGCACUACCAUCUGAGGCCAC